UUCCCAAAAGACGCCAGCCCAGGUCCGCCAACGAACCAAAAGGCUGAUUGCUUUCACGAUGGACCGGCGCACCUGAUACUGGGAGAGAGGAGGCUCCACGCCACCACCGCUGGGGCCUCGAAGGCGAACCACCAAGAAGGCGCUGCCUUCUGCGUCCCACAGAAACAGUUCCCCUCCGAGGCCGAAGACCAGGUUUCUCGUCGGCAAAUGCGGCGGCAGAGACGGGCACGAGGGUGAAGUCGAAGCCGCUGGCUUCUCCGCUUCGGCUGGACUCUGGUUUCUUACGCCCUCGCGGAGCCGCAAGAACACGACGUGGUUAGGAAGCCAGCUCUGCCACAGCUCCCCAUCGCCCAAGGGCCCCACGGCAGCCGCCAUCUUGAACUAACAGCUCAGGAUUGAGGGGCGGGAGGAAACGAAGCCCGCUGCUGUGCGUAGCCAAUCCGCGGCCAGCACUUCACAGCUUCAGCCUAUCAAAGUGUAGGAAUCUCGAGAAGUUGGCCCAAUAAGAAAGAAUCGCUAGAGGAUAGACAGGGCCGCGGGUUGAAGCCAAGGUGGGCGGGGCGGGGCGGGGCGGAGUGGAGUGUAAGGAUCGCUUUGGGGCUGCUGCUGGGCCAGUGAGGGGGUAGCGUUAAGGAUGAGAGAUGUGUGUCUGAUUGUCUACUGGACAACUUCCUCUGGGUAAACCCAGAACUUUCUCUCAAGAUUCACCUCCCUCAGCCCGGGUGGUGUUUACUUCUCAACUGUCACUGCUUCAUCUAUCCUCGGAUUCCCCUAAAUCUGUCACUGUGAGGGGAUAGAAACUAGAUACAAUUCCAAGAAAGCCCGGCGGCCUGAAGUACAGACAGACUGCGCCGAGACUACAACUUCCAGAAUCCUUUGCGCGCGGCUAAGGGGCGGUGAUUUGGGCGCUGUUUCCCGCUAAGGGAGGAGAUGGCAGAGUCCUCGGGGUCUCCGCACCGCUUGUUGUACAAGCAGGUGGGCUCGCCCCACUGGAAAGAAACUUUCAGGCAGGGAUGUCUGGAGAGAAUGAGAAACAGCAGGCACAGGCUCCUGAACAAAUAUCGCCAGGCUGCAGGUAGCACGCCGGGGACAGCCUCAGACAGACUUCUUGUGCAAGAAGUAAUGGAGGAAGAGUGGGCUUCUUUGCAGUCUGUGGAGAAUUGUCCGGAGGCCUUGCUUCAGUUGGAAUUGCCACUGGACCUAGCUGUGCUGCAGGACAUCGAGCAGGAGCUGUGUAAUGAAGGUACAACCUGAGAAUAAUGAACAGUGUGGUCACGUGUCCAUGUGGCCUGCACAUCCCUGUUCACACUUGUGACACCUGGGCUGUGAUCCUCUAGCCAUCCCGACCUCACACUUCACUACUGAGCUGAGAACAACUCAUUUCCUGAGAGGGCCCUGUAUGCACAAGCCUUUUGUAUAUAACGGAUUUUAUAUUAAAACUUCAGACAUCUCUGC